rnacentral:lncRNA from 1 species
CCAUAAUGUAUUGGUUGAUUGGUAAGGUUCAAGAAAGUUUCAACCAACCCAAAUUAAAAGCCAUAAGAAUGAACCUUACCAUACCAUUCAUGUUCUACUUUUCUCUUCUUUUUUCUUUUUUUUUCUUUUGUCCUUAAAGGUGCCUAAGAUUAGCUCAAAUGAGCCAAUUCGAAGGACAAUUGUUUACAAACUUGACAAAAUGCGGAGUGGAACGAGUUUGUCGUGCCCAAUUAUCCGCUUUUACAUUCAAAUUUCU